AUUGAACGCUAGCGGGAUGCCUUACACAUGCAAGUCGAACGGAGUGGCGAACGGGUGAGUAAUUUAUCGGAACGUGCCCUGUCUCUGGGGAUAACUACGCUAAAGCGUAGCUAAUCCCGCAUCCUAUUGGAGCGGCCGAUAUCGUAUUAGCUAGUUGGUAAGGUAACGGCUCACCAAGGCGACGAACCAUAGCAGAUUUGAGAGGACGACCAGCCACACUGGGACUGAGACACGGCCCAGAAUCCUACGUGAGGCAGCAGUGGGGAAUUUUGGACAAUGGGGGAAACCCUGAUCCAGCCAUCCCGCGUGUGAGAUGAAGGCCUUCGGGUUGUAAAGCACUUUUGGCAGGAAAGCGGUACCUAAAGAAUAAGCACCGGCUAACUACGUGCCAGCAGCCGCGGUAAUUC
rnacentral:rRNA from 1 species